AGCCAGUGUGGUGUAGUGGUUAGAGUGUUGGACCAGGACCCGGGAGGCCAGGGUUCAAAUCCCGGCUUGGUCA